rnacentral:rRNA from 1 species
AUUGAACGCUGGCGGCAGGCCUAACACAUGCAAGUCGAACGGUAGCACAGAGAGCUUGCUCUCGGGUGACGAGUGGCGGACGGGUGAGUAAUGUCUGGGAAACUGCCCGAUGGAGGGGGAUAACUACUGGAAACGGUAGCUAAUACCGCAUAACGUCGCAAGACCAAAGUGGGGGACCUUCGGGCCUCACACCAUCGGAUGUGCCCAGAUGGGAUUAGCUAGUAGGUGGGGUAAUGGCUCACCUAGGCGACGAUCCCUAGCUGGUCUGGGAGGAUGACCAGCCACACUGGGAGAGAGACACGGUCCAGACUCCUACGGGAGGCAGCAGUGUGGAAUAUUGCACAAUGGGCGCAAGCCUGAUGCAGCCAUGCCGCGUGUAUGAAGAAGGCCUUCGGGUUGUAAAGUACUUUCAGCGGGGAGGAAGGCGGUGAAGUUAACAGCUUCACCGAUUGACGUUACCCGCAGAAGAAGCACCGGCUAACUCCGUUCCAGCCGCCGCAGUAA